rnacentral:tRNA from 1 species
GGGCUGGGGCUCAGAGGUAGAGGGCUCACCUUGCACGUGGGAGGUGCUGAGUUCGAUCCUCAGCACCACA